rnacentral:rRNA from 1 species
UACGUAGGGGGCAAGCGUUGUCCGGAAUCAUUGGGCGUAAAGGGCGCGUAGGCGGCCGUCCCAGGCGUGCGGUGAAAGUCGGGGGCUCAACCCCUGAUCGGCCGUGCGGAACUGGGGGGCUGGAGCACUGUAGAGGCAGGCGGAAUUCCGGGUGUAGCGGUGGAAUGCGUAGAGAUCCGGAAAGAACACCGAUGGCGAAGGCAGCCCCCUGGGCUAGCACUGACGCUCAGGCACGAAAAGCGUGGGGAGCAAACAGGGAUUAAGAAACCC